rnacentral:tRNA from 1 species
GCCUUGGUAGCUCAGUGGUAGAGCGCCGGAUUCAUAACCCGGAGGUCGGGUGUUCAAAUCACCCCCGAGGCA